UACGUAGGGGGCAAGCGUUGUCCGGAAUUAUUGGGCGUAAAGAGCGCGUAGGCGGUCCGAUAAGUCGGCUGUGAAAGUCAGGGGCUCAACCCUUGGAAGCCGGCCGAUACUGUCGGACUAGAGUCCGGAAGAGGCGAGUGGAAUUCCCGGUGUAGCGGUGAAAUGCGCAGAUAUCGGGAGGAACACCAAUGGCGAAGGCAGCUCGCUGGGACGGUACUGACGCUGAGGCGGCGAAAGCGUGGGGAGCAACAGG
rnacentral:rRNA from 1 species